rnacentral:rRNA from 1 species
UACAGAGGUCUCAAGCGUUGUUCGGAUUCAUUGGGCGUAAAGGGUGCGUAGGUGGCGCGCUAAGUCAGGUGUGAAAUUUCGGAGCUUAACUCCGAAACUGCAUUUGAUACUGGCGUGCUUGAGGACUGGAGAGGAGACUGGAAUUCAUGGUGUAGCAGUGAAAUGCGUAGAGAUCAUGGAGGAAGACCAGUGGCGAAGGCGGGUCUCUGGACAGUUCCUGACACUGAGGCACGAAGGCCAGGGGAGCAAACGGG